GAUUCCAAUCUCCCAUGUGCCAGGCAGCAUUAGCAGCCAUAGGAGAUAUUUGCAGCCGAGCAUCUGGCUCUGCAGAUGUCCACUUGUCUUUACAUAGGGCGCUAAGCUCUUCCCAACGAGCUAAGGCAGCAAGGCAGCGCAUUUGUCCUAGUGUGUCAUCAAGGCUUGAUGACUCAGAAGAUUUUAGAGUAUAUGCCUUGAGUGCAUCAUCCCACCGCUGCAAUUU
rnacentral:misc_RNA from 1 species